rnacentral:rRNA from 1 species
UACGUAGGUGGCAAGCGUUAUCCGGAAUUAUUGGGCGUAAAGCGCUCGCAGGCGGUUUCUUAAGUCUGAUGUGAAAGCCCACGGCUCAACCGUGGAGGGUCAUUGGAAACUGGGAAACUUGAGUGCAGAAGAGGAGAGUGGAAUUCCACGUGUAGCGGUGAAAUGCGUAGAGAUGUGGAGGAACACCAGUGGCGAAGGCGACUCUCUGGUCUGUAACUGACGCUGAGGAGCGAAAGCGUGGGGAGCAAACAGG